rnacentral:ncRNA from 1 species
AUAAAAGUUGUGAUUAGGAAAAGUAAGUAAUGACCAAUCAAACAGAGAGCCUUGGUAGCUGGAAACAAGACAGAAGUCAUUAUUGAAAACACACCUAUGAACUGUAGAGCUGAAUUCAGUAGGCUUUACCGAUAUUUGGUUCGUUAUCCAAGUUGACUCAGCCAACAUGAGGUCUAAUUCGCAAGGAUUAGAUAAAAUGAGGUGGAACCGCGUUUAUACGUCCUCUUA